UAUGACAAAAGAUUGCUUGCAGGAGCAGAAACUGUGUCCCCUGGAGUGAGACCAUCACUGUCUGCCAUCAUGUAGCUGUUUCCUUUGGAGCCACUCAGUCAUUGACUGCUUUCCCUGGAAUGAGGGGAAUACCCAGUCAUUGGUCAUCAAUUGUUUCUGCUGGACCAACUCUGUCCUGGGCUCUGUUCCCUCCACUGACUCAGUGAUUGACUGUUAUCCUUGGAGUGACUCAAGUGUCGGCUGUCUUCCCAGGUCUGAGGCAAUCACUUCCUGUCAUCCUCUUAACAACUGUUUUCCUUAGAGUGACACAGUCAUUCACUGUUUCUCCUGGAUAUCUCCCUGUCAUUUCAUCAUCAAUUUUUUCUCUAGAUUGACUCAGUUCACCAUCAACUGUGUCCCCUGGAGUGACUUGGUGGUCAAUUAUUUUCCCUGAAUUGAUUUGGUCAUCGAUUCUUUUGCCUGGACUGACUCUGUCAUCGACUGUUGUCCCUGGAAUGAUUUGGUACUCAACUGCUUUCCCUGGACUGAUUGGUCAUCAACUCUUUUCCCCGGAUUUACUCGGUCAUUGACUGUGUUCCCUGGACUGACUUGGUACUCAACUGAUUUCCCCUGGAUUAAUUCAGUCAUUAACUCUUUUUCCUAGUUUGACUGGGUACUCAACUCAUUUCCCUGGAAUGAUUUGGUACCCAACUCAUUUCCCUGAUUCGACUCGGUACUCAACUGGUUUCCCUGGAAUGACUUGGUACUCAGCUGGUUUCCCUGGAUUGACACCAUAUUCAACUUGUUUCCCUGGAUUAACUUGGUAUUCAACUCAUUUCCCUGGACUGACUCUACCCUGAAAUGAUUUGUGCCCUGGACUGUCUGGUAUUCAACUCUUUUCCCUGGAUUGACUCAGUCAUUUGCCCUCAUUUCCUGUUUUACUUGGAACAACUCAGUCAUUCACUAUUUUCCACACUGAGGGCAUCUCCAUGACUUCCUAUCAUCAAUGCUUUCCCUGGACUAAGUCAGUCAUAGACUCUAAUCUCUG
rnacentral:lncRNA from 1 species